rnacentral:lncRNA from 1 species
AAGAACUCUUAUGUUAGGAAACUAUAUAAAAUUCUCCUUGCAGCUACUCCCCUGUCUGUGGCUCUUCCUCUUCUCUUUGCACAGGCUGAGAGUCAAAUUGAUUUCUCCAUCGAGGAAUUGGGGAUAUUAGCUUCUUUGACUGAAUCUGAACAGUGCCCUGAAAGAAAAAACAAUUCUGUAAGUGGACUUGGCCUGUUGCAGUUCCAGAAAAAGCAUCAGGAUGACAACCUCUGUGCUCCCAGCCUCACAGGGCUCACAUACAGCUCUUAUGUCUAAUGGUGCUUUCCGAAUGGAACUUGCCACAUGAACUGGAGGGGUUCCUCAAAGCAGAGGAAUUCUGCUGGACCAAUUCCUCAAGGGUCUGGAUUGUGUCCUCGUUAUGCUUCUCUGGCUUAGAGCAGGUUUGGCUAUAAAUUGCAAAAUAGUCAUUUUCUGUAAAAUCUCUGGAAACAGAUUUUGUUGAAAAAGAAAGUCUGUUAGAGGGAGUGCCUAAUGAAUUACUAUCUAAUGAAUAAGAGAUCACGAGUCAGAUACUAUCUCAGCAGACAAAACCGCCCCCACCCCCAAAUUAUUUUGGUCCCGGCUCCCAAGGGCCGAGUUAAAAAUGAGUAUUCCCAUGAUUUCAAGGCAAACCAUGGGUUUGAAAUACCUUAAGUCAGUACGUAUAAAAGAUAAUUAUGCGCCAGCAGUUGCCCAAGCUUUCCUUGUCGCAGACCUCAUCAGAUUUCAUGCCAUUUAUGCAUUUGUAUCAGUGUUUCCUCAUUGCCUGUAGGAUCCCUGAAGGCAGGAGUAGUCUCUCUUGUUUGCAGAAGGAUCUCUCGUAACUGGUACAGGACCAGGCUCUUAGUGGGUCUUCAAUGAAUAUUGUUGAAUGAAUGAAUGAGGAAACAACCCCAGAAACACAUCUGACUUAAAAGUGGACUCACCCUUUGAAAGGUCUUAACAUUAGCCAACUGGAAAAAUUCAAACUUGAAGAAGAGGGAAACCAUGGCAACCCUUGUUUCCUUUUUGUUUUUCAAACUGGGUGGCCCAUUACAUGUUUCCUGCCUGGCAGCUUCGGUGAUUGGGCUCCCCCAAGCUUUGGCCCAUUUCCUUCGCUUCAAUUCAGAAAGACACUACUGAGCCCUCUAGCUCCCUCUCCUGCUGGCAGGCUCGUUCGCAUACUUUGCAUUCCUCCCCACCCUGUUAUCCCAGACCUUCUGCUGCCAGGGGAGUAAAGAUUCAGGGAGCGAAAGACUGAGAGAUUGAAAGAGAUAAAGCAGGUGGACUUGUGUGUGCACACAGCUCUCCCAAUGUUUUGCUCCUCCUUGUGCAUCACUCCUUGAGCCAAAGCUCUCUGAUGAAUGGGAAGCAGACAUCACGGUCCAGGAGGGGCAAAGGCAGCAGGCCUCUGCAAUUUUUUUUCCCCCUAAUCAGAUUAACGUAAGGUAGGGGGAAUUAAAUCAAGGAUGACACAUCAUUUUAUCUCUUCUGCCAAUUCCAGUCAAUUGGUAUUGGCUGCCUGGACUGCUGUGUCAUGAGGGAUUCUGAGGCUGGGUUCUAGCUCAGCAGAAAAGCAUGACACGAUCAAUGAAUAAUAUCUUCCAUGGGCACAGGAAGGGUGAGUGGCAACUCUCAAGCCAUUUAUAAGCCACAGCAAGCGAUGCUGGUCCUCCACCCUCUGAGCAAUGGAAGAGCUAGAAUAUUCUGGCCUCCAAGGAAAAACAAAGGUCCUUGUUUAUUGCAAUAUAAACACAUAUCUAAAUAGCUUCGGGGAAUAAUUAAGCUGUGUUUGUACAAAUAGAAAGGAGAGGAAGGAUAGAAAGGCAAGAUUUGAGCUGCUAUCACCCAUGUUCUAAUGUCUUUGGUUUUUUUUCUUUUCCUCUCUCUCUUGCCUUCAUAUGAUCCCAUGGAAACCAGAGCCACAUGAGUAAUUAAUAAUCAACAAGUGGAGUACAUGUUAGGCAGGUGAUGCAUUUAGAAAUAAUAUCAAAUCAGUUUUCUCUUACCUGCCAGUUCAAAUCAGUUGCUGGGAGCUGUUCUCAACCUCCUAAAUUUUUGAGCCUAGAAAGUACAUGGGUGCUUGAGUCUGGGGCUGAAAGCUGACACCUUUGUCUACGCAUGUGUCUGCCACACUGACAGGGUGCAAGAUCAGCAAUAACCCAUGAGACAACAUCCAGCCGAGCAUUUGGGGACACAUAGUCCUCCUCUGACUUUUUGAACCAGCCCUCAUGCUGAUUCCCAGGCCCAGCCAACCCCACAGCACUGUCCCCAAGUAUUUGGUGCUGUCUGGGGCCUCAUUCAUUCACGCAGGCAAGUGUGCUUACCCCAGCUGACAGGCCCCACAUGUAGCCUGGCAGCAGCCAGAAGACCCAGUGUGGCAGGGGGGAUCCAACUUUGGGGCUGUUUACUCCCUGGGGAUAUGUGCUUCUUUUUCUCUAAUUCUUCUCACCCUUCAGAGGGUGCCAGCACCAACUAACACCUUGAAUGAGGUCCCAAGGCCAUGUACUAUGAGCCCAGGCUCUGACCUCCAGGUAGCCUAUCAGCAUUUCCUGCAGGCCUGAAAUGCCCCUCUCCUCCUCUCUGACAUUCCUUUCCCUAAUUUCCUUUAAAUUCCUGUCCAGGAGAGCCCUCCAUGCCACACACCAAGCGUAAGGCCUCCGGUAGCUGAGGAAGAUGUUGAGUCCCUGCUUCACCAAAACCCCCCAGUGAGAACUCAGAAAUUGAGCCCCCUUAGGAAAACAGAUACACACUUUGAUGUGGCAUUUUACAGUUCAAGAGCAUUUUGGCAAAUCUGAUCUCAUCAUUAAUGUGAUCUCCUUAAGGCACAAAACACUUUUGAGAUGGAUAGUUUGUGGGCUAAGUCUCAGAAAAAGUAAAAUGACUUACCCAAGGCCAUGGAGCAAGUCAGUACCAGUGCUAGGGCUCCAACCCAGCCUAUGCAGAAUCCACACUUGUUCUUCUCCCAUAAUGAGACGGUUUGGCCUCACUUUCCAUCUGCAGCUACAGUGGCUGUAAAAAUGGGUCCUAGGGCAGGUGAGCAGGUGUUUGUAUCUUAGGAAGUUGUCACUACUUAGCCCCAGAGAGACCUAAUUCCUUUACUGGAUCUAGAAUCCAGCAACAGAGAAAUUACUCUCUCCUAGCUGUCAUCCCUUUGUUUCCAGGUUGAGAUAGUCCUGAGAAGACAUUCAGGUAAUUCUAAUUUAAUUGAAAUUAAUGUGACCCCUCUUUUGUACUGAGGCAUCAGGACACGACUGAAGUUCACACAAGCAGAGAAGGAUGCUGACUGGGGAUGGAGGGCAGGAAUGACCUUGUCCAUCCAGUCAUACCCAGAAUCAUGCAAGUUCCAUGUGAAGCCAGGAAGGGGCUAAAAUAAAGCAAGUCAAGAAAACAGAAAUUGAAAAUUUUCCUAGGAGGGAUCUGUCUGACCCUUUGAUUAUCAGCCUGAGGUGCCCUCUCAAAGAAAGCAAGAGGAAACUUCUGGCUUUGAAUGCUUCUGUUCUUCCACAGUUCUGCCCAGGGCUAAACUGCGAUGUAUUUCUUAUCUUUGCAAGGGGGAGAAUUAAACUGCAUUGGUUUCCCUUCUUUUUUCCUCAAACUCCUAACCAUCAAGGCAAGGAGCUGGAGCCCUAGAUUAAUUCCAGACCACUCUGGGUCCAGGAUGCUUGACUAUUAUGGGGCAGAUUUUCUGCAAUCUGUCUAUUUGCCAAUUGUUAUUCCAUUUGUAUAUUUCAAAGGUGAUGGAGAUCAACGUAUUUAUCAGCCCCACUGAUAUGAAUCUCAUUCUAUCAAGACCUAGAACACUGUCCGAGGACCUCCAUUCUACCCUUGAUCCUAAAUUCCUUUAAUGCCACCUAAAUCUACUGCAUGAAGCUUCCUUGACCAACCCCUGUUUUACCUUUUUGAAUCACUCUAUUGGUAGUAGUUUGUUCCUAUGAAGUACUUCUAUAGCAGUUCCUGGCAUAUAGUAAGCACUCAAUAAAUGUUAGUGAUUACUAUUAGCAAUAUAGACCUUAAAAUCAGUAGCAUGUAUUCCCCUUGAGCUUUUGAUAUAUAGUACGACAAUUUCUCAGCAGUGCUCUGGAAUAAUAGUAAUUAAGUACUCUUGCUUCUGAUCUCAACAGCAAGAUAAAAAUCUGGAUAUAGCCCCCAUAUCAGUCAUCUUUCUAUAGUAGAACCACAGGCAGCUCUACAAUCUCUGAGAUGCUGAAGAAGAUUGCAAAUAAUGAUUCUGCAAGGACCCCAUUCCCUUUCCUCCUGGACAUACAGCUAGACUACACAUCCCAGUUCCUCUCGCAGUGAAGUGGGACCACAUAACGGCAUUUUGGCCAAUGAGUUGUGAGCAGACCUUAUGUGCAUGGCUGUCCAGACCUAGCCUGUUUUUAAGAAACCCUUCAAGGCAACCCUCCAUGUUUGAGCCUUCCCCAUCCAUGCGGCUGGCAAUGAAAUACCAAAUGAAAUACCAAAGUGACAUUGGAGACAUGAGAGGGAAGGAGCUUGGCCCCCUAGCUCUCUGUUUAAAGGGCCACAAAAAGCUAUCCAACCUCCAUGCCCACACUGAACUGUGGUGUGGGCAAGAGCCAUUUUAAAAAUUAAAAUCGGGGAUUCUUGGUUAUAGCAGUGAAUCUACCUUAGCUAAUAUAAAUAUCUUCAGUUACUGGAAGACAAAUUAACUGAGCAAAUUACAGAGGGUGCUACCCAACAAGUUCUGAUGAACCAGAAAUGAGUUUAUAAAACCCUUAUUAUAAAAACCUUGUGGUACACAACAAAUAUUACUGGUAAGCACAAAUAAAUGAAACAGAAGUCUCACUGCUCUGAGUGAAACGCUGGUAUGGACCCAUGUCAUCUUGCAUUCCCAAGAACUGUGGGCUGUGGUUCUGCUAAUUCUUGAAAGUGCCACCUAUCUGAGAAUUCUCUGUCUGGACCAAGCACUGUGGAGCAGUGAAAAGAGCCCCAGACCAUAUGGUGAAGACUUGGGCUCCAGGCUUUUUUAGGAUUUUGAUGCAUAGUGGAACUGCUGGCAUGACAUGUCCCAGGUCUGGACGCCUGUUCCUGAGAGGGCUGAGUCAGAUGGCACACUACAAGCUGGAGCGAAAGCGCAACCUGCAGGUGUGUGUCGCUUGACUUGCAAGGUAACAUGAUAAUUUUGAAAUUAGUUCCCAACAGUUAAAAAUUAGGAUUUUUGCAUUAAAAAAUCUGACAGCUCUUGAAAAAGGUGACAACACUAGGCUUGUGUUCCCUCAGGACAACAGUUAACUUUCCUCUCCAGACAUUAAAUAUGCUCUCCAGCUUUGCAUAAAUCCGGCCCCUUCCCCCAGAUCGUCCUUUCAUUUACAUUACCUGCCUGGAUGGAUGGUCCUUGUUGGCACUUGAGCUUGACACCUAAGUGAUUUCUAGUGGUCCCUCCUGUCUGGUCAGAUGAACCAGUUCAUAUCACCUUGUUGCAGAGUCUAUUGCCCCAACACACAAUGUCUUGAAACAAUCACUCUUUCAUGAUAUAUUGUGAUCACAUGGGUCAGCAAGUCAACAGGGCUCGAAUGGACCUGUCUUCUAGUUUGUAUGCUAUCGGCAGAGGCCCCUCACUGAUGUUCAGAUGGUGGAUGAGCUGAUAUGCAGAGUCCAAGAUGGUUCCACUCAUACAUCUAGUGCCUUGGCAGGGAUGGCUGGAAGUCUAGGCUUUCCUGCCUCUGUCACCUGGAGCACGUCUCUGUGGUUCCUCCAGGACAGUGUGGAGUCAAGGUAGUAGGUUUCAUACAGGGACUCGGGGAUCCCAGAAUGAGCAUUCCUCGUGAAGAAUGAGUUCUAAGAAGAAGCCAUAAGGGCCCUUGAGACCUACUCUCAGAAAUCCCACAAUGUCACAUGUGCCACCUUCUGUUGGCCAAGCACAUCACAAGGCCAGCCUAGUCAUGAGGAUGGGAAUUAAACUCAAUAGGAAGAGUAGAAAAGAAUUUACUGCAUCUUUAAUCUACAUGUUUAUUAUUAAAAUUCUGUUCUUCUUGAAUUAAAAAAUACUGAUUUAGGCUAAAUUUAUGUCUUACAGUAAUUCACUAUGUUUCAUGAACAUGAUGCCCCGAGCCCUGAAAUAGAAAGAUAGGUUUGUCUAGGAGAUACUGUGCCCACUGUCCUUUUAGAUGUGUCUCAUUGCAUAUGCAAUAUCACAGAGAACACUUUAGAAUCCAAGGAGUUGAACUUCAAGCUCGUAAAAGAAAAAAGAAAACGAGAGAAAAAAUUAUUGAUUUAUUCCAGUAAAAGUAACUACAUAGGUGAAGAUGAAAGACAAUAUAAAUGUACUUUUGGUAAUUCUUCUCUGCUUCUAUCUGAUUUUAAAAACAACUGCAUAAUGCAUUAAUAUAAAAUGGAGUCAAUGCCUUAUAGUGCAUAUAAGUAUAAUUUAUACGAUAAAAAUAGCAUGAAGGAGGAAGGAGGGAAUUGGGCUUUUCUGAAGCCAAGUUUCUAUAUACUAUCAAAAAUAAAUUAGCAUGUAUCUAAAUUAGAUUAUUUCAGGUUAAGAUGCUAAUUGCAAUCCCCAGGGCAACCA